GAUGAACGCUAGCGGCAGGCUUAAUACAUGCAAGUCGAGGGGCAGCAUGAUUGUAGCAAUACAAUUGAUGGCGACCGGCAAACGGGUGCGGAACACGUACACAACCUCCCAAUAAGUAGGGAAUAGCCCAGAGAAAUUUGGAUUAAUACCCCGUAACAUAACGAUGUGGCAUCACAUUGUUAUUAUAGAUUUUUCGCUUAUUGAUGGGUGUGCGGCUGAUUAGAUAGUUGGCGGGGUAACGGCCCACCAAGUCUACGAUCAGUAGCUGAUGUGAGAGCAUGAUCAGCCACACGGGCACUGAGACACGGGCCCGACUCCUACGGGAGGCAGCAGUAAGGAAUAUUGGACAAUGGACGCAAGUCUGAUCCAGCCAUGCCGCGUGAAGGAUUAAGGUCCUCUGGAUUGUAAACUUCUUUUAUAAGGGACGAAAAAAGGCUUUUCUAAGUCGUCUGACGGUACCUUAUGAAUAAGCACCGGCUAACUCCGUGCCAGCAGCCGCCGUAAUAC
rnacentral:rRNA from 1 species